GAUCUCUUACAAAACUACCCAAAAAAUUCUGCUUUAUAUUAAAGUUCUUUCUAAUUUCUGAGGAACAGUAUGUAAGAGUAUUUCCUGUGCAACUUGCAUUUGAAAAUUUCUCAAUAAUUGCACUUAUUACUGCUGUUGCUGUUCGUGUUGUUGUUGUGUGUUGUGCAGGCAAACAUGAAGUCAUUGGACAGUAAUUUCAGCGUCAUAGUCAAAGUCUUGUCAUCGUCAAGUCAACAUCAAUGGGGAAUCUUCCCGUCCCCUUCCACCAAUUGCCAAUGGUAGUGGAAUCAUCGUUUGGCUUGAUUUCCCAUUGCCGGAGCAAAGCUGUGAGCUGAGAGAGCUGGCAAUCUGCGAACUCGGAGAUACUCGAAGAGAUCCGGCAACAGAUCCCAGGCAUCGACUGUCUCCAAGAGACAACUUACGCUGAAGAGGGAAAAAAUCAAAUUAGCUGCAUGAAUGACGCUGGCAAAUGCGCUUGCCGGAUUAACAGGGUGGCCAAAGAACUGAAUAUAUGGGACAGAGUAGAGCUGCUGAACAGUUCAGGACUGGGACAGAUAAGAUGUGUGGGAGGUGAGCGGUUGUGGGAGGCGUGGCAACUGCUACAUCAAUGGCAGUUUUUAUUUUUGUUGCCUUCUUUGUUUGGCACUGAGAGCCUUGGCCAGGAAAGAUUGCAAUGGCAAUGUGCCUGCUCUUUGUGUGAUUGAUGCAACUUCAUGUUUGUGAGCUAAUUGCUGACUUAAAUGAAGAGGAAGACAGACUGAGAGUUAGCAGCAGAG